UACGUAGGGGGCUAGCGUUGUUCGGAAUCACUGGGCGUAAAGGGCGCGUAGGCGGCUUUGUAAGUCGGGGGUGAAAGCCUGUGGCUCAACCACAGAAUUGCCUUCGAUACUGUAGAGCUUGAGACCGGAAGAGGUAAGUGGAACUGCGAGUGUAGAGGUGAAAUUCGUAGAUAUUCGCAAGAACACCAGUGGCGAAGGCGGCUUACUGGGCCGGUUCUGACGCUGAGGCGCGAAAGCGUGGGGAGCAAACAGG
rnacentral:rRNA from 1 species